AUUGAACGCUGGCGGCAGGCCUAACACAUGCAAGUCGAGCGAGCGGCGGACGGGUGAGUAAUGUAUGGGGUCUGCCCGAUCGAGGGGGAUAACUACUGGAACCGGUGGCUAAUACCGCAUACUGUCCGAUCACCCCUAUGGGAUUAGCUCGUAGGUAAGGUAAUGGCGUACCUCGGCGAUGAUCCCUAGCUGGUCUGAGAGGAGGAUCAGCCACACUGGGACUGAGACACGGCCCAGACUCCUACGGAGGCAGCAGUGGGGAAUAUUGCACAAUGGGCGCAAGCCUGAUGCAGCCAUGCCGCGUGUAUGAAGAAGGCCCUAGGGUUGUAAAGUACUUGCAGUCGGGAGGCGUUACCGACAGAAGAAGCACCGGCUAACUCCGUGCCAGCAGCCGCGGUAAUAC
rnacentral:rRNA from 1 species